AAAUAUGAUAAGCCACUACACUACAGUAGUGAUCCGCGAGAUGCGAGGGGUAGAUAAUAUUUAAUAUUUAGCGUUAGUUUUUUGACUAUAAUUUUUUCGUCUUUCAGUUAGGUAGGUUUCACAAAAAAAAAGAAGUUACAGUUAGCCUUGCACGUGGAGCAUGAUUAUGGACAUUAAUAAAAUUUUAUCAUAUAAAUUAUACUUUGUAAUAUAUAAGAUGCAAAAUAUAAUGAAGCAUAACAACGUCGUCGAACGAAUCGUCGAUAGAUUUUUAUCCAUUAAAUAAAAAUUCAUUUAAUCAUUAAUCGUUGUUUUUCAAUACUCUAAAAAAAAUCCACAUAUUCUUAAAUAUUAACUAGUGGAGGCCCGCACUUCGCGACGGAAAAUCUACGUAAUUUUUAAAAUAUUUUAAACAAUAUUUUUCAUGUUUUAAUUUUUAGAUCUAAUUUAAAAUUUUAAACAUAAAAAAAUUAAAUAUAAAAAUUAUAUAUAGUAAAUAAAUAUAUAUUUAUAAAUAAAAUUAGAUAUAUAUAAAUUAGAUUUAAAAUUUAAAAUUUAAAAUUUAUAUAUAAAAUUUAAAAUUUAAAGUUGUUAAAUUCUCUCUCUCUCUCUUUCUCUUUCUCCUCUGAUUCCUCUCUCUCUUUCUCUCUCUCCCUCUCUCUCUCUCUCUCUCUCUCC
rnacentral:lncRNA from 1 species